rnacentral:rRNA from 1 species
UACAUAGGGACCAAGCGUUGUUCGGAUUUACUGGGCGUAAAGGGCGCGUAGGCGGCAAAUCAAGUCAGCUGUGAAAUCUCCGAGCUUAACUCGGAACGGUCAGCUGAUACUGUUUUGCUAGAGUGCAGAAGGGGCAAUCGGAAUUCUUGGUGUAGCGGUGAAAUGCGUAGAUAUCAAGAGGAACACCUGAGGUGAAGACGGGUUGCUGGGCUGACACUGACGCUGAGGCGCGAAAGCUAGGGUAGCAAACGGG